rnacentral:rRNA from 2 species
AAUUGAAGAGUUUGAUCAUGGCUCAGAUUGAACGCUGGCGGCAGGCCUAACACAUGCAAGUCGAGCGGUAGCACAGAGAGCUUGCUCUCGGGUGACGAGCGGCGGACGGGUGAGUAAUGUCUGGGAAACUGCCUGAUGGAGGGGGAUAACUACUGGAAACGGUAGCUAAUACCGCAUAAUGUCGCAAGACCAAAGUGGGGGACCUUCGGGCCUCAUGCCAUCAGAUGUGCCCAGAUGGGAUUAGCUAGUAGGUGGGGUAACGGCUCACCUAGGCGACGAUCCCUAGCUGGUCUGAGAGGAUGACCAGCCACACUGGAACUGAGACACGGUCCAGACUCCUACGGGAGGCAGCAGUGGGGAAUAUUGCACAAUGGGCGCAAGCCUGAUGCAGCCAUGCCGCGUGUGUGAAGAAGGCCUUCGGGUUGUAAAGCACUUUCAGCGGGGAGGAAGGCGUUAAGGUUAAUAACCUUGGCGAUUGACGUUACCCGCAGAAGAAGCACCGGCUAACUCCGUGCCAGCAGCCGCGGUAAUACGGAGGGUGCAAGCGUUAAUCGGAAUUACUGGGCGUAAAGCGCACGCAGGCGGUCUGUCAAGUCGGAUGUGAAAUCCCCGGGCUCAACCUGGGAACUGCAUUCGAAACUGGCAGGCUAGAGUCUUGUAGAGGGGGGUAGAAUUCCAGGUGUAGCGGUGAAAUGCGUAGAGAUCUGGAGGAAUACCGGUGGCGAAGGCGGCCCCCUGGACAAAGACUGACGCUCAGGUGCGAAAGCGUGGGGAGCAAACAGGAUUAGAUACCCUGGUAGUCCACGCCGUAAACGAUGUCGAUUUGGAGGUUGUGCCCUUGAGGCGUGGCUUCCGGAGCUAACGCGUUAAAUCGACCGCCUGGGGAGUACGGCCGCAAGGUUAAAACUCAAAUGAAUUGACGGGGGCCCGCACAAGCGGUGGAGCAUGUGGUUUAAUUCGAUGCAACGCGAAGAACCUUACCUGGUCUUGACAUCCACAGAACUUUCCAGAGAUGGAUUGGUGCCUUCGGGAACUGUGAGACAGGUGCUGCAUGGCUGUCGUCAGCUCGUGUUGUGAAAUGUUGGGUUAAGUCCCGCAACGAGCGCAACCCUUAUCCUUUGUUGCCAGCGGUUCGGCCGGGAACUCAAAGGAGACUGCCAGUGAUAAACUGGAGGAAGGUGGGGAUGACGUCAAGUCAUCAUGGCCCUUACGACCAGGGCUACACACGUGCUACAAUGGCAUAUACAAAGAGAAGCGACCUCGCGAGAGCAAGCGGACCUCAUAAAGUAUGUCGUAGUCCGGAUUGGAGUCUGCAACUCGACUCCAUGAAGUCGGAAUCGCUAGUAAUCGUAGAUCAGAAUGCUACGGUGAAUACGUUCCCGGGCCUUGUACACACCGCCCGUCACACCAUGGGAGUGGGUUGCAAAAGAAGUAGGUAGCUUAACCUUCGGGAGGGCGCUUACCACUUUGUGAUUCAUGACUGGGGUGAAGUCGUAACAAGGUAACCGUAGGGGAACCUGCGGUUGGAUCACCUCCUUA